UAACUAGGAUUAGAUACCCUAUUAUUUUGAGUGUUAAUGUUUUUACCUGAGUAGUAUUAGUUGUGUUCUUGAAACUUAAAGAAUUUGGCGGUAUCCUACUCCGUUCAGAGGAAUCUGUCUCGUUAUCGAUAGUCCGCGUUGGACCUUACUUAGGGUUAAUUUUGGUUUGUAUACCGCCGUUUAUUGAUUAUCUUUUUAGAGUAUCUUGAAUUCUCUGGUUUCUUUAAUUUGAUUUAUUGCAGGUCAAGGUGCAGCUUUUUCUAAGUGUAAUGAUGGAUUACAGUGGUAUGUGUUGUUUGGAUUGUUUGUUUAAAUGUAGGCAUGAAAUUGGAUUUGGUUGUAAUGUUUUGUAGAUUGUUUUCAUGAUAGUUGGUUCUAGGAUAU
rnacentral:rRNA from 1 species